GGUGAUAUAGCUCAGUGGUAGAGCACUUGCCUACCAUGCAAGAGGCUCUGGGUUCAAUUCCUAGUACCUCAA
rnacentral:tRNA from 1 species